CGGAACGUGCCCAGUAGCGGGGGAUAACUACGCGAAAGCGUAGCUAAUACCGCAUACGCCCUACGGGGGAAAGCAGGGGAUCGCAAGACCUUGCACUAUUGGAGCGGCCGAUAUCGGAUUAGCUAGUUGGUGAGGUAAUGGCUCACCAAGGCGACGAUCCGUAGCUGGUUUGAGAGGACGACCAGCCACACUGGGACUGAGACACGGCCCAGACUCCUACGGGAGGCAGCAGUGGGGAAUUUUGGACAAUGGGGGAAACCCUGAUCCAGCCAUCCCGCGUGUGCGAUGAAGGCCUUCGGGUUGUAAAGCACUUUUGGCAGGAAAGAAACGGCGCGUGCUAAUACCAUGCGCAACUGACGGUACCUGCAGAAUAAGCACCGGCUAACUACGUGCCAGCAGCCGCGGUAAUACGUAGGGUGCAAGCGUUAAUCGGAAUUACUGGGCGUAAAGCGUGCGCAGGCGGUUCGGAAAGAAAGAUGUGAAAUCCCAGGGCUCAACCUUGGAACUGCAUUUUUAACUACCGGACUAGAGUGUGUCAAAGGGAGGGGGAAUUCCACGU
rnacentral:rRNA from 1 species